GGCAAGAGAAGCUAUCGUGAGGGAAGAAAGGACAGAAGCAAAAAGAGAAAUUAGGACCAAUUUAAAUAAAGGAAACAGAUACCACAAAAUUAGUGGGUGCUGCACAGAAGGUUGCUUUUCCACAUAAACCGGAAAAGGAGGCAAACUAUGUUAUUCUUUAGACAUUGGAAGAUACUCUGCAACUGGGCACUGGCUGCUUAAUGGCGAUUAAGGCUUUUAAAAAUAGGAAAGCUUUUUGAAGAUCACCAAGUGAAGAGCAUGCCUGUCACUGUGCUCUGAGAGCUGGAAGUUCCUUCCCUUGAGUUUCUGAAAGGCCUGGAGACAGCUGACUGGUUAUUAGCUGGGUGAAGAUAGUUUGAUGAACAGGAGUGAAAGCGAAGAUUGAGGUUGCUGGUUACCAGGGCCAAGGGGACAUGUACAAGUCAGGGAAGACCCAGCCACAAACUCCUCCAAGACAAAGCGCGGCCACCCAGCCACGA